GUAAUGGCCGCGAGGAGAGAGCUCUCCGCGGCCUCAGACCGCCGGGCGGAAGUAAACCCGGCAGGGGAAAAGAGGGAGAUAGAGCUGCUCGGCACCCGCUGGGAUGUCUAAGCGGGUGCCGGCAAUUACACAGAAGGAAGGGAGGGAGGGCACUAGUGAGACCGCAGACGCACGGGCGGUGCGGUCUCACAGCCUGUCAGACCCCUCUCAGCCCUGGCAGUUAGUGAAAGCCAGGGAGAGAGGGAAAGUGUCUGAGCCUAAGCAGAGCUAAGCACUGUAAUACUGACCCUGAAACAGGGACAACAUAGAAAUGAACAAACAGGAAACAUUAAAACCAACAACAUUUAAAGUGAUAUUAACAAAAAAA